UCAAUGUCAGAUGAAUUAACUGAAACAGAAACAGCUGUCUAGGAGCUUGAUACUGAGUGAGAAUCAGCAAAACUCUGCUAUUAAGGUGAGAUUGUGGAAGACAGUUUCUUGUCACAGGUCAUACAGCAUGGAAAGACUGAGGACAGCAACAAAACACAAGGUAGUUCUACUGCAUCAGCAAGGCAAUCUCUGCCAGAUUUCAAAGCAGACUGCUGUUCAAGCAAUUUUAAAAAGCUCAAAGAAACUGGCAAUUUUGAGGACCACAGUGGCUGCCCAAGGAUACUUCAUGCAGCAGAUGAAAGACACAUCCUGCUUACUUCCCUUUGACAUUGGAAAUGCCCAGCUGUGACAUCAGCAAAGAAAAUGGCAAAAACCAGUCCAGCAGGUGGCAGGGGCUGAAGGGCUGGACAGCAGUACAAUAAUAAGUGUCUGUAGGCAACAGUGAAGCAUGGCGGAGGGUCCCCAAAUUUAUUCUGCAGCAGGACAAUGAC